CCUCCCUGCCUCCCCUCCCCCCUUAUUUCCUCUCCCCCCUUUCUCUUCCAAAGGCCCUCAUAGGCAGCCCCUCUUCCUGGACCUCAGCUCUCAUCAGAUCUUGGUGCUGUGGGGAUUCUGGAGAUGUGCCAAGCACCCAUAAUCAGGAAAUUCUGCCUCAUGAUGGUGGCCUGAGAGUUUCGAGUCUGCCCUUACAGAGUUUGGACUAAUCAGCCUCCACAAUAGUGUAAGCCAGUUCCUAGAAAUUAAAAUUUUAA